UACGGAGGGGACUAGCGUUGUUCGGAAUUACUGGGCGUAAAGCGCACGUAGGCGGAUUUGUAAGUCAGGGGUGAAAUCCCGGGGCUCAACCUCGGAACUGCCUUUGAUACUGCAAAUCUCGAGUCCGGAAGAGGUGAGUGGAAUUCCUAGUGUAGAGGUGAAAUUCGUAGAUAUCGGGAGGAACACCGGUGGCGAAGGCGGCUACCUGGCCCACUCUUGACGCUGAGGCGCGAAAGCUAGGGGAGCAAACGGG
rnacentral:rRNA from 1 species